GGCCCCUACGGGAGGCAGCAGUGGGGAAUAUUGCACAAUGGGGGAAACCCUGAUGCAGCAACGCCGCGUGAAGGAAGACGGUUUUCGGAUUGUAAACUUCUGUUCUUAGUGAAGAAAAAUGACGGUAGCUAAGGAGCAAGCCACGGCUGACUACGUGCCAGCAGCCGCGGUAAUACGUAGGUGGCAAGCGUUGUCCGGAAUUACUGGGUGUAAAGGGAGCGCAGGCGGGAAGCCAAGUCAGCUGUGAAAACUACGGGCUUAACUUGUAGACUGCAGUUGAAACUGGUCUUCUUGAGGUAAGUAGG
rnacentral:rRNA from 1 species